CCUACGGGAGGCAGCAGUGAGGAAUAUUGGUCAAUGGGCGUAAGCCUGAACCAGCCAAGUCGCGUGAGGGAUGAAGGUUCUAUGGAUCGUAAACCUCUUUUAUAAGGGAAUAAAGUGUGGGACGUGUCCUAUUUUGUAUGUACCUUAUGAAUAAGGAUCGGCUAACUCCGUGCCAGCAGCCGCGGUAAGACGGAGGGUACGAGCGUUAUCCGGAUUUAUUGGGUUUAAAGGGUGCGUAGGCGGCCUUUUAAGGCAGGGGUGAAAGUCUGUGGCUCAACCAUGGAAUUGCGGUUGAAACUGGGGAGCGUGAGUAUGUGUGAGGCAGGCGGAAUGCGUGGUGUAGCGGUGAAAUGCUUAGAUAUCACGCAGAACCCCGAUUGCGAAGGCGGCCAGCCAAGCCAUGACUGACGCUGAUGCACGAAAGCGUGGGGAUCAAACAGGAUUAGAUACCCCAGUAGUC
rnacentral:rRNA from 1 species